GGAGCUUGCUCCCUGAUGUUAGCGGCGGACGGGUGAGUAACACGUGGGUAACCUGCCUGUAAGACUGGGAUAACUCCGGGAAACCGGGGCUAAUACCGGAUGGUUGUUUGAACCGCAUGGUUCAAACAUAAAAGGUGGCUUCGGCUACCACUUACAGAUGGACCCGCGGCGCAUUAGCUAGUUGGUGAGGUAACGGCUCACCAAGGCAACGAUGCGUAGCCGACCUGAGAGGGUGAUCGGCCACACUGGGACUGAGACACGGCCCAGACUCCUACGGGAGGCAGCAGUAGGGAUCUUCCGCAAUGGACGAAAGUCUGACGGAGCAACGCCGCGUGAGUGAUGAGGUUUUCGGAUCGUAAAGCUCUGUU
rnacentral:rRNA from 1 species